rnacentral:rRNA from 1 species
AUACGUAGGUGGCAAGCGUUGUCCGGAUUUAUUGGGCGUAAAGCGAGUGCAGGCGGUCUUUUAAGUCUGUAUGUGAAAGCCUUCGGCUUAACCGAAGAAGGGCAUCGGAAACUGGGAGACUUGAGUGCAGAAGAGGACAGUGGAACUCCAUGUGUAGCGGUGGAAUGCGUAGAUAUAUGGAAGAACACCAGUGGCGAAGGCGGCUGUCUAGUCUGUAACUGACGCUGAGGCUCGAAAGCAUGGGUAGC